UCCACUUCAGGCUUUUAAAGACGACUGAAGUUCAUGGAAAUUAGCUGCAUGGACUGAAAACAUAUUUCCUCGGUAUAAUGACAGUACAGGUUUUACAUAGAAAUAAUCCAUAAUACAGAAUUUGCUAAAACCAAGCAAAAUGGCUGGAGGAGAGGCAAGACAACAAUCAUAACUCAACAAAACUGGACCGCAUGCUGACAGUAUAGUCACUCCACACAAGGUGCUAAAUGGACUUCAAAACAGGAUUGCUCAAAUGGUUUUCUUCACAAAUCUACAAAGGAGCAAACCAGUGGAUUCUGCAUAUUUCAGGAAGACCAUCACACCAUAAGAUGUAGCAGCAGAAGCAGACCAUUCAGCCUGAGUCUACACGACCUGAUGACUGGUCUGAUAAUUCUCAACUUCAUUACCCUUGGUUCCCUUACUAAUUAAAAUUGGUCUACAUGAACAGGCGAACAAGAACAAGAUUAGGCCAUUCAGCCCUUUGGACUGAAUUUAACUUCAACUCUACAUUCCUGCAUACCUCUGACCAUAUUCAUCUGCUUGGUAAGAAUCUGCCUUAAAAAUAGUUUACAAUUCCACAUCCACUGCCCCUUUUAUUCCAUCACGUUCAACUUUGCUGACAAGCCUG